rnacentral:rRNA from 1 species
UCGAGCGGCGAACGGGUGAGUAACGCGUGGAUAACCUGCCCUGAGGUGGGGGAUAACCAAGGGAAACUUUGGCUAAUACCGCAUGAUACCGAGAGGUCAAAGGGGGCUCGCAAGGGCUCUCGCCAUAGGAGGGGUCCGCGUCCGAUUAGCUAGUUGGUAGGGUAAUGGCCUACCAAGGCGACGAUCGGUAGCCGGCCUGAGAGGGUGAUUGGCCACACUGGAACUGAGACACGGUCCAG